rnacentral:rRNA from 1 species
UACGGAGGGUGCAAGCGUUAAUCGGAAUUACUGGGCGUAAAGCGGGCGCAGGCGGUAUGGUAAGUCCGCUGUGAAAUCCCCGAGCUCAACUUGGGAAUUGCAGUGGAUACUGGCAAGCUGGAGUAUGGUAGAGGAAGGUGGAAUUCCCGGUGUAGCAGUGAAAUGCGUAGAGAUCGGGAGGAACACCAGUGGCGAAGGCGGCCUUCUGGACCAAUACUGACGCUCAUGCACGAAAGCGUGGGGAGCAAACAGG